ensembl:lncRNA
CUAGUGGUUAGAGUGUAGAGGAGGCAGGUAGACUAGUGGUUAGAGGAGGCAGGUAGACUAGUGGUUAGAGUGUAGAGGAGGCAGGUAGCCUAGUGGUUAGAGUGUAGAGGAGGCAGGUAGACUAGUGGUUAGAGUGUAGAGGUGGCAGGUAGUCUAGUGGUUAGAGUGUAGAGGAGGCAGGUAGUCUAGUGGUUAGAGUGUAGAGGAGGCAGGUAGACUAGUGGUUAGAGUGUAGAGGAGGCAGGUAGUCUAGUGGUUAGAGGAGGCAGGUAGCCUAGUGGUUAGAGUAGGCCGUAAUUGUAAAUAAGAAUUUGUUCUUAACGGACUAGUUAAAUACUGGUUAAAUGAAUAAACAUGUAAAGUCUGACUGUGUCCUGGCUCUAGCUGUGGUGUGUUGGGAGCGGUUAGAGUUGGGUUGUCUGCUGGUCGUUGUCUCUCCAUCACUCUCACUGGAGCUCACAAUACGCUGGGCCUUCCGACCAGCACGCCUCAACAAUGGCUUCCUAAAACACACACACAGGUCAGAUAGAGACAGACGGGUCAGAUCG